CUAGAAUGAGUUGGGCCAUGACCUGCCUCGUGGAAAACGUCCUGUGCUGCUGAGUGCCAAUAGUACAGUGUAUGUGACUUGCUGAUUAGAAGACAAAUAGGUGAAGCCCAAAUGUUAAAUAAAGCAAAAAGCAAACACAAAAAUUAGUAGGCUCUUUGCCUUUUAGAUUUAACAUUGGUGAAUUUGAUUGAACAUUUGGCGAAUGAUACAAAUUCUAAUCAUGGAGUAGGAGGCUCUACUAUUAUUCAUAAGAGUAUUAACCUAACUUUGUGAUCAGAAGGAAGGAAAGCAGGUAAUAGAGAAAGAAAUUUUGCAAAAAGAAGUCCUGAAAUUACUUGGAAGGCACACAUAGGAUUAUAUAGAGAAUGUUGUUCUGCUUUCCAAAGUGGAGUCACUGUGGAGAAAGGUAGUCAUUCUUCAUCACCUUAAUUUCAUUUACUCUAGAGCUACAUUUCUGCCUUUCACUCAACUUUAAUGUUUCUGGUUACAUUAAAUAAUACUACAUCAUGUAAGGUAAUUGCUGGAUAGUCUGUUUUCAUUUAGUAUACCCUGAAGUCAGGUCAUGAUUGCUCACAACUGGGAGGCUGUACAGUCCGAAGUAUUUGUUUUGUAAGUUAUUUAAAUAGCUGUUAACUUGUAAAAUACCCUGUUUAUUGCCUGAAAUAAGAUGGUGUUUAAGGAAAAGAAGGAAGCAAUGGAGAAGGCAGUGCAUACAGUGAAAAUGAAGGUUAUUUUAGGCUGAUGAUUGAUUGUAGAAUAGGAAAUAUUAACAAUCUUCUUAGGUGCUAUAGAUGACAUUUUUAGAAGAGAAGAAAAUUAUGCCAGAUUAGGAAUGAAACAUUUCAACAUCUUUAGAAUAAGGAGGAAUAAUGUUGUACUAAGCUAGAACUGAGGUGGGAACUCAAGGGACCCAAGCUUUUGUGCUGGAUGAAGGAGCUCUUGCUUUAGUGGAGUGCUUGUAUGUUUCUGGAGGAAAUGAGCACUUUCUAGUGAAGUAUUCUGUAGUUCCCUUUUACCUACUGUGUUUCCUGUAGCCUAUUUAUACUGGUUUAUCUCAUGCUACGGUACAUUCAGUGUCAGUAAUGCAGCUGGGUAUGAGUAAUAAACUCCAGGAGCCGUGUAUUGUAGAUCAAAGCCAGAUAUGGUGUAGAAUGAAUACGAGUUCAGAAAAGUCCUAGUUAAAUGGCAGCCCCGAGGCUGGAGGAGUACCUGAAACAUGGAUAGCAUGAGACUGGUCCUUGAAUUUUAUCCUUCACUGCCAAUCUUGUCUACGAGCAAGCUGGCACAAGUUAUACCCUGACUUGUGUAGCAGCAAAGCUUGGGAAGAUCAAGGUGUGUUGCCCUGCCUUCAGUUGCAAAGAUCUGAGAAAGUGUUGUAGAUAUGUGUCUUAUUUCAGCUGUGAGGAAGGUGCUAAAGGGAGAACAUAUGUGCGUGUGGGUCAGACAGGACUAAUGGAGUGACAUCCUCUCUGGACUAGAAGAGCCCUUCUCUUUGUCUCUCCCUCCUCCCCUUAGAAUCUAAAUGCUCCUAUUCCAGUUAACUGAAGUAAAACCUCGCUGAUUAGUGCUAACUGGGAGACUCCUCACAGAUAACUAGGUUUUGCUAAUCAGCUUUAGUGCAAGGGAACAAUAAUUUAAAGCAUUUUAAAGUUAAUUUACAGGACAAGUGUACUUCAGCCUCAUUGACUUGUGGUGAUACCAUUGAGAGGGAUGCUCAAACUGGAAAAACCUGAUAGCAACUUUCAAAAUUUUGGAAGAAUUGGGGCCA